AAAGCGUGCGCAGGCGGUUUUGUAAGUCUGUCGUGAAAUCCCCGGGCUCAACCUGGGAAUGGCGAUGGAGACUGCAAGGCUAGAGUUUGGCAGAGGGGGGUAGAAUUCCACGUGUAGCAGUGAAAUGCGUAGAGAUGUGGAGGAACACCGAUGGCGAAGGCAGCCCCCUGGGUCAAAACUGACGCUCAUGCACGAAAGCGUGGGGAGCAAACAGGAUUAGAUACCCCGGU
rnacentral:rRNA from 1 species